CCCUUGCCGGCCACGGCCCCGGGGCCGUUUUCCGAGUGUUCUUCGGGGCCAGCAAGAGUGGGCCUUCCUCCCUCUACUAUGUCACCGUCACCUCCAGAACCGAAGGCUUUGCCAAGGAAGCCCCUUCUCUGCUCUGGCCCCAUCACCAGCCCCGGGUCUUAAGUGGGUCCGGGGUCUCGGGGAGCACCUGCUCUGGCCUCCCCUGGCCUCCCCGACCCCAUCUCCUGACGGCUCCUCUGACGAUGUGUGUGCUGUGGAGACGUAGGCCUCCAGCCUUCCGGCUGCCCAGUGCACUGAGGCCCGCCCAUCUUCAGUCACCAGAGAGUCACCUUGUGUGUGGACCCGUUCCUGUAACCCUUCGAGUACUGUGUAGUGACUGGCCAUUACCCCUGUAGCCUCAAGGUCAAGGAAAUGCCAGAUGGACUGAAUCAGCUUCACCAGCAGGAACUGGCAACGUGAAGUGACGGACAGAGAUGGGGUGACUCAAAGGACUUCUUGGAGCCUCUGCGUGAGGCCAUUCGACUGU
rnacentral:lncRNA from 1 species